rnacentral:tRNA from 2 species
UCCUCCGUAGCUCAAUGGCAGAGCAUUCGGCUGUUAACCGAAGGGUUACUGGUUCGAGUCCAGUCGGAGGAG